GUGGUGGUGAUGGUGAAGGUGGAGGAGGAGAUUUGUAUACAUAUGGAGGAGGUGGUGGAGGAGAUUUGUAAAUGUAAGGAGGUGGUGGCGAUGGUGAUGGUGGUGGCGGGGACUUAUAGGCGUAAGGAGGGGGAGGUGAUGGUGAAGGUGGUGGUGGAGACUUGUAGACGUAUGGAGGAGGUGGUGAAGACGAUGGGGGAGGUGGUGAUUUGUAGACAUAAGGAGGUGGUGGUGAUGGUGAUGGUGAUGGUGAUGGUGAUGGUGGUGGAGGAGAUUUGUAGACGUAAGGAGGUGGGGGCGGUGGUGAAGGUGGUGGUGGAGACUUAUAGACGUAAGGAGGUGGCAGUGACGGUGAAGGUGGCGGCGGAGACUUGUAGACAUAAGGAGGAGGUGGUGACGGGGAUGGUGGUGGUGGUGAUUUGUAGAGGUAAGAUGGGGGUGGAGAAGAAUAGUAAUAUGGCUCAGCCACUACAUUUGUAGCCAGAAUGCAUGCAGUGGUCGCAAAGGCCAGCUGAGGCCAAAAAUGCCUCUCCAUUUCGGUCACCAUGAAGGUGGCGCCACCAAUUUCACCACCACUCUCUUUGCUUCAAAGAGAGUACCACUGAUCUUCUCUCUUUGGUUUGUGUUUCUUGAGUGCUUUAGGGCUCUCUCUAAGCCCCUUUGAUAGUGCUUUAGAGCUCUCUCUAGCCCCCCCAUCUACUCUUUCCCAAGGCAACUAUACUAUCGUUUGUCCGACCUGGCCAAACCAUGUUUUCUUCUAUUCUAUUUACAAACCCCAUUAAAGUAAUUUGAUAGUUUCUUAUGGUUGUUUUAUUUAAUGUUAGAAUGCAUUUCUAGUGGAUAUUUUUAUUUAUUGUGAAUUGGAUUUGUUCUUAAUCUACUGUGAUUGGUCUCAUUAUUACUAAUUGUAAGGUUAAAUGUCUUUUUUUAAUGUUAUCACGUCUACAUGAUUUGUUUUAAGAGUUUAUUAAAUAUUACAAAUUUUGAACCUUGAAAGCUUCAUCAAAUACGCCUGGGAGGGUGCUUCUCAUUGGAUAAAAUCUAUGCAAAAAAAUUAUUAAAAAAAUGGGAAUAUAAUUGUUGAAGAUAAAAUGAUCACUAGAAGAAGUCAAUCUCUACUUUGUUCCCAAUGCGUUGGCCAUUAAUGUGCUCACAUUUACAUGUUGAAAGGCUAUUUUCAGUAAGGGGAGGCCUUGGAAAGUGGUCACAGUUGAUAUUAAAUAAAAAGCAAGUGGUGCUUCGUUACUCCCUCUUUGGAAUAGGCUAAUUUCAACUUUCUUAUAAAAAGAGAAAUGAAAAAAAGUAUUGAAUGCAGAUCGCCGAUCCGAUUUGAAAAUUCCCAAAUUGGGUCAGGUUCGGGAGGUGGGUUCCAGUUCAUGGAACCCCGGAUUCUCCCUUGUUUAUAGCUUUUUAAUUUCUUUGUUGACAUCACCCGGAAUUGGAUCAGGCAGAUCAGAAUCGAUUGCCUGCCAUUCAAGGCGCAAUUCCUCUUGUUUGUUUGAGCCGACAUGGAUAAUUAAGCCUCCAAUUAGUAGAUUCCACUUUUUGUGUCCCUUACUCUUUAUCAAUGUUAUCUGGAUCGAACCAACCACUAGAUUGGGGAGGCGAUUUGGUCUAGUCAAAAUCAAUCACUAUCGGGCGAACCAAUCUGACUGAAUUUAAAAAAUAUAUAAAAAACAACAUAAAAAAUAGUUAAUAAUAUGUAAAAUGUUAAAAAAAUUUGCCCACUUUGUUUAUGUAGUCAAAAAGUUUAAAACUAGUCGGUUGGAAUUACCAAUACUAGUUAAAUAUUGGUUUUGACUAAUUUUUUAUCAAAUCAUAUUUUUACUCUAGACCAGACCGACCAAGGUAUUGAUGAGCAUCAGACCAAUAAAAUCGCCAAUUCGAUCCGAUCGUAAUUACCAUGGAUGGACUGGAGAUCUCUUUUCGUGGUUUUACAGUGGAACAAGGUGAACCGUCCAUCCAGUCACCACCCCAUUUCUAUAAAUCAAAAUGCCCCUGGCGUGAAGGAAAACUACAAAUUGUCCCUGUCUCUAAAAUGCCUUUGCCUAAAAUGUCCCUAGCAGGCCGAUCUCCAAGUGCUUGCAGUGCUUCUCCUUUGUCAAAGACGUAUUCCUGCCAAUCAUUCAGCUUCACGCUAAUAAAAAACUAAAUAAAUAAAAAACAAUAAGACUAUUACAUAUUAUCUAAAUUUAACUAGGCUCAGUGAUCAAUAAUCAUAGGACUCCUAACACUACAAUUUUUCACAUAUGGGGGGGAUCUCAUUUUCAAUUUUAUAUUUUAUUUUGUUGUUUUUUUUGGGUAAUUCAGUGGAGAAGAUGAGUCCCACCUGGAUUUUUCACGUAGAUUAGGAGUUUGCUUUUUGAAAGUAUUAGUGGGAUGGUAUUAACAGUGGGAAUGAAAAUAUUUUUGUUGUUGGCAAUGUAUUAUAUGAAAAAAAAGAAGAAAAAUGAUAAAUAAAUAAGUAAAGGAGUUCAUCUAAUUGUUAUUCCGAUCAAGAACUUAAGCGGAAAAUAAGGAAAACUCAAAACAACUUUAAGGUGAUUGAGAGGCUCUGGACUCCACUUUAAAUUGGAGAAAAGAAAUUGGGAAGUUUUGUUGCCUAAUAGAACAUUCAACUGAAAUUGUAUUUUCUUGAAUAUAGAAUAAUCAAGGAAACAAAAACAAGAAUGACAAGAAAUAAAAAAAGCAAAGAAACAAUAAUGGCAUGAAACAAUAAUCGCAAUGUUUCUAAACUCGGCUCGGGCCUCAGACUAGGCCCUUGCCCUAGCCUAAUAGUACUCGGACCAGUAGUGUACAAGACAAAAAAGUCUAAAGACAAAAUUACUGUAACAAAAUUAUUAAAAAGAACUCACAACCAUAAGAAAGUAAUGGAGAAGUCCAUAAAAGUCCAAAAAGGUAUAUAAAAGAUGGAUUAUUGGAAAUUUUAGUUGGUACCUUGAAAUACUUUGAAAAAUGAGAAAUAAAAAAUUAAAGCAUUUUGAGAGAAAAAUUCCCAAAUUAUCAUAAAAACUACCUGAAACAUAUAAAAAUGAAUUGCUAAAUCAGUUAAUUAAGAUUUUUAAUAAGGAUUAGGUAUUUUUUAUUGUUUUAAAUAGGGCCGAGUUGGCCCCUAAAUCUAUGGUCGAGGCCGAGUUACAUGACUCAAUCCAUGAUUAGCCGACCCACUGUGGGAUUUUCCACAUGCCGUAGUCGAUAUGUAAAAUUUCAAUUUUGGUAUAUAGAUUUUUGGAAAGAUUAUGCCUACCAUAAUAAAAUAUCUAAAUCAUGGACAAGUUCAAAAAUAUGAGAAAUUUACGUGAAGUUGCACCCACCAUGGCUUUCGUAUUUUUCCACAUUUACCUCUCGGUCUGAUAGUUUCAGCAUUGGACCGGUUUUAUCUUUUAUUUAUUUUUGAAAUGUAGGACUCUCUCGCCAGGGGCAUGCAAUAUUUGGAGCAAUCCAAUGUUCACAACAUCAGACAAUGCUAAAUAUGGGCCGUUCAAUGUCCUCAACAUUAUACGACGUUGCUCUGUUAUGUCCAACAAAUGGAAUAUCAGACCGACCUAUUCAAUAUUCCGAAUAUCGUACUCACCUCGUGUGUUUAUUAGUCUCUCCGAUAAUAGAAACGUCAGACCAACCUGUACACUCAAGUCCUAUAUUUUCUAGAUUGGAUCGGUCUUUUUCUUUCCUUUGUGUUUUUGCCUAUUGAAUUUCAAAUCGAGAUAGGGCAUAAAAGCCACAUUUCGAAUCAAUUUAUUCACAAAGAAACCCCACACUCACUCAUAUCUAUCCCCAUCUCCCUCUUCCCCUAUCCCGAAACUCCUAUACAAGCUCUCUGUAUCAGGUAGGUCUUUUUCAUUUCUAUUUCGUUCGUGGCUUACUCGACUGUCAAGAGAUUUGUAACUUGUGUAGUGUUUUUUAUUUUUCUAAAUAUUCCAAGGCUUUAAGCCUUUAUUAUAUAUUUUUCAUUCCUAUUUUGAACACACAAUAACUAAUCAGAGGCAAUAUAUCAUAGAUGAAUUUCAACAACAAAUUGAACAAUCAAUAAGCACUUUAUGUUCUGCACAUCAUAAAAAAUACUACAUCAAUAAUUAAAGGGUGGUGUGGUUUCUAUAAGGUUGCAACCUUAAACAAUCCUAUUAAGGUGCACCUCCAAAUUUUAUCAUAACAUAUAAUUUUGGUGUAAAAAAUUAUGAGGAUUAUCUAAAAAUCUAUUUUCAUAUCUAAUUAUAAAAUUUUAAGCUCCAAAAAUAGUUAAAAUCAAGUAGAUAUGUAAACAUAUGAAAAUCUUGAAAACUGACGGUUUAGAUAAUAUGUUGUAAGAUGUAUUAUUCCGGAACUCAAAAUCUUUUCUUUGUAAUAUUCAUACAUCUCUAUGUCGAGAUGAUCAAUUAGAGGGUUUUUCAACGUUAAAACAACCUUUUCCGAUGGAUUUUUGAGAUGCAUCUGUAUUUCUACAUUUUCAGGUUGCAAUCUUAUAUAAACUUUUUCUGUAAUUAAAACAAAAAAGUGCAAAAUAAUCCGACUGAUGGUAAUGUCGCAUAAUUUUCUUUUUUUGGGAUAGCAGAGAGAUUGAAGUUAUGAGAAACGUAAAAAAAAUUAAAAACUUUAGAAACAUGCCUGACUGAGGAUAAAGAUUGGAGGCUUUGCGAGUGAGCUCAUGUUCGGGCUUGCUUUGAGAGACAAAGUAAUGAGCAGUUCGAAUGCCCUAACUCCAACUUGCUCUAAGAACUAGUUCGAAUGCCCUAAAAAUCAAACUGCUUGUGGCAAAAUAUGCUCAACUUACAGUCCGAUGUUUGUAACAUCGGAUCGCCUUUUAAGCAAAGUGUGAUAUCUUUAAUAUUAGACUGACUAAGAGUAUACGGUCUUGUUUUGAAUAUUGAGUAGAUGUUUAAAACAUAGUUACUGGGUGCGGGAACGGCUCUGGUUCUGGGAGCAGAAGCGAAAGCAGGAGCGUCGAAGUGACGUCUGCCCAAAGCUCCAGAGCGAGUUCCGGUGAGGGUAAAAGUAGCGGAUCGAGAUCCUGUAUGAACAAGGAGCGUGUUCCAAUGUAUCGGGAUUUUGCGCCCUAUUUAACGGGAGCGCUUUCCAUGUCAAAUAGGAUCGUGUUCCCAUAUUCAUUAGGAUCGUGUUCCCAUCAAUAACAAGAUCGCGACCCAUCUAAGAAUGACCGUGUUCUUAUUUGGAAAGGAUCGAGCUCCAUUCAAGGAAGGAUCGCGUUCUAUGCAUGAUUAGUCCGCACUCCCAUCGCAGAACUCCACUUUUAUGAAAAUUUGGCUUAAAAUAUAAUUAUUUUAUUUUAAAAAUUGAUUUUAUUUAAGAAGUUUCUUUUGGGAUGUUUUGGAAAAAUAGGGAUGGAGUUCCAGAAAUGUAGGGAUCGUGUUCCUAAAACUAUGGGAGCGGGGAUCUCAUUUAUUCAGGAAUGAGAUCCUAAAAUUUAAGGAAUGUGUUCUGUGCAGUAUCGGGAGCGAGCUCCGUUGUGAAUAGAAUCGAGAAUCCUAAAAAUAAUAACGAGCUCCUAAAAAGUAGAGAACGAGUUCCGGUCGAGAUCUCGGCUACGAAGCACCAGAGCUGGGUUCCGAAGCGGAAGUGCCACCCUAGUUGGGCGCUCCCGGUAACUAUGGUUUAAAAUGCAUCCAGCACUUUUAUGAUAUUCCACAUACCGGAUAUCCUACAUUGAAGGCCAUCAAUGUUUGAAACAUCAGAUAUCCCAUGCUUCAUAAAAAAAAAGAAAAAACGAAAUUCGGUCUCAUGUUCUAACUAUCGAGCUUUGGGGCAAAGAAUGGAGAAAAUCAAAAAAAGGAUUGUGUGAACGAAAUUCGGUCUCAUGUUCUAACUAUCGAGCUUUGGGGCAAAGAAUGGAGAAAAUAAAAAAAAGGAUUGUGUGGUGCUUUUGAGAAAGCAAGUUAUAAACAUAAGAUUGAUGGACUUCCGUGUAAAUUCCCCAUGUUUGGAAACAGUCCGUAUUUACAAUAAUUUAAUAUGGUAUGGAUGUAGGAUGUAGUUACCAGUCCGAAAUUACUAUGAUUUGGGACUAGUCCAUAAAGUUUUAAAUUAUUUCCCUAAUUUUUUUUCGUUUUCUUUCACCCUAUCAAUCCAUUUUUGUAAUUUAUCUUUCUUCAUUUCAUAGGCUUGCAAAUUUAGCUGAUCCAGAUGACUCGAUUUAGCCGAUUAGGAUUGGCACAGUCAAUGGCCAUAUUACCUGCCGAUUUGGGUUUUUAAAAAAUGGGCAAUUGUAAAAUAUCUCUUUUUCCUAAAAUAUAUGAAACAAACCCAGAGGUUUUGAAAUUUACAUUCAUACUCAUUCAUGUGAUAUAUAAAUUUUUUAUGAAAAUACCCUUCACUAUUUUAUUAGAACUGUCAUGCUUCAAAGACUUCUCGAUGGCCAUGAGGCGUUACGACACUGUUAGUGCCGUGAUGCUUGUCAUGACAUUGUCAUUAUCAUGUUACUAAUAUCAAUUUAGGUAAUCUUAAAAGUUUCCGUUUUUUAAAUUUGAAAUAUACUCAAAUUUUUGGAAACUACAUCCAUACCCAUUGACUUGACGGUUUUUUUUUUUUUUCCUAACAUACCUUUCAAGGUUCUAUUAGAUCCCUGAUGUUCCAAGGGCCUCUAGAUGAACAAAAUAUAUCUUGGCGCUAUUAGUACUGUGAUGCUUAUCAAAUAUUAUUAGUGUAGUGAUAGUCAUUAAUAUCAAUAGUAGUAUUAUGGCUUGUGACACUCAUUAAUAUAUAAUGAGUUAACUAUUCAAGAAGUAUUGAAUAACGAGUAUUAAAGCAAUAUUAGUGCCGUAAUACUCACUAUCCAUACUUGUUGUAUAGGGUUCAAUAACAAGUGUUAUACUCACAAUUAAUGAUGUGAUACUUACAGCGUUAACAAUGUCAUGAUAAGCAUCACGACACUAAUAGCGUCGUGAUGCCUUCCAUGAGAUUCCGUGGGCAUCAAAGGGCCCAUGGAGCAUCACGGCUCUAAUAGAACCUUGAAUGGAGUUUUCAAAAAAAGAUAUAAACCAUCAUGUGAAUGGGUAUAAAUAUAGACUUCAAAAAAUUUGGAUACGAUUCAAUUAUUUUUGAAAAAAGGUGACCCUAGAAAAUUAGUCCCGCCCAUUAUAAAUUAUAUAUGUGGCUCGGUGUAGUUUGGUAGUGUCAAAAGAUUUUAUGCUUCCGCAGGUACAUGCGCCCUCGGUAAGAAUCCCGCUUGGCUAGGGACCCAAAUGCCCUAAACAAGACAUUAAGGAAAAAAAAAAAAGUUAAAUGGAGACCAUCCAAUAUAUGGACGGUCAGAAAAACGUUCACAGAAACUCAAAUUCCAAAUUUAUUUUUGUGAAGACACUCGUCUAGUACUGAUUCUGAUAUGUCCCUGAAUAUGAGAUGAAGAGAUUACUCAUAAGUAGGUUUUUCACCGAAGAGGAGUAAGUGUAUAAUUUUAUCCCGAGGGAGCAUGCUCUACACUCCCUCUUCCAAAUAUUUUCUUAUGGGUGGAGGGCAGGGUCCACAUGAUCCAUCUUUCCUUGUCACUUUUUCCAGUGGAUCGGCUGGCAAGGACCUUUGCCAUGAGUCAUGAAUAUUGACUAAGAACAUGAAGUUGAAAUUAAUAUGAUGUUGACUAGGAAUAAUUCAUUAGAUAUCGGUUAAUAAUACAAGAUAACGAUUAUAAAAUAAAUAAUGCCUUGUUUAGUCCUAACAUUGUCCAAAAAUAUAAAAAAAUACAAGAUUUGUGCCUCAAGUUGCUUGGCAAGCUGAUUUCACCUUGUACGGGUUUGAUCUAUACUAAUUAUUAAACUUUCCUUUAGAAAAAUAAGUUUUUCUUGUCAUGAGCAAAUGAUACUUGCGGCUCAAAUUGUCAAAGGAUUUCAUGCUUCCGAGGGAGCAUAUUGUCCAUUAACUCCGCUGGGCAGAACACAGUCUAGGAGUGUUUUUAGGACCCCAAAUUUUUGAGGUGUAACCUGAUCAACCCAUAUGUUAUACUCAACGAAAGGUAUGUGAAUAAGAAGUGAGAGCAAAAUGUAACAUUGUCAACGCUGUGGAAAAAAAUAAGGGAUUUAUCCAAUGCGACUAUUUGCCUUUGAGACAAGGAGGUUACAAUUACUUAAACUUUAAUGUGAAGUCUGAUAGCUUCGAUGUGUCACACAGUUCAAGAAAAUUCUUUUGAAGUUUGAGUUUGGUCAAUGAAAUCAAUGCAGCCAUCUAAUUUCACAUCCAAUGAUCAAGAUGAAUUGUGACCACCAUGUAAUAAAGAUAAAUGGUAUCGUUGUAUACUUUUCCAAAAAAUAAAACAUAUCUACUCCCUUCGUAUUCACAUGCCUAUAACCCACAAUGUAUUAUCUCACUCAAAAUGCUUUCAUUGGUAUAGCAAAUAAUUAAGGGUGCUCCCUCGGGAACAUACUGAACACUAGUAUAUGAUUGGACAACAGGUAGGUUAAGGCAUGUGGGUAAGAAGUGAGAGCAAAAUAAGGUAAGUUGAGAGCUUACUUUUAGAGAGAUUGAGAAUAUUGGGCUGUAAGGUACCUUGAGAGAUUGAGUUUUGAAAUAAUUUUGAUUACAUUUCCCAAUAUUGAGGUAAUGGAUUCCUCUUUGUUUCCCUUUUCUCUUUUUUCUUCUUUUUUUUUUUUUCUUCUUUUUUUUUUCUUUUUUUUUGUUGGUUAAAUACAGUGAGGGAUUGAAAUUCCAUGUAGCUUAACCACACUAUUUCCCUUUAUAGAAUAGACAAAUCGACUUUAUAUGAUUUUUGUCUAGAUAAAUCUCAAAAUAUAGAAACAUAGCAAUGGACACGAAUAAGAGCACAAAUUUCAUUAAUGAAAAAAUAAUUCAACUAGAUUUAUUGAGAUUGAAGUAGGAAGUGCGCGGCCUAUAAGAGCCAUGAAAAUAAAAACAAUCAUGUGGCCUCAUGGACCAAAUCCUUUAACAAAUUCCAGUAGUAUGUAUAUUUCUUUAGAUCUCAAGAAGGAUCUUUCUCCAAUCCUCAUUAUUGCCGAAUCGAAAUAAUCAACUCGAAUUUCAAUUGGUGUCCAUUAUUUCAAUAAUCUGGAAAAAACCUGAAAAAAUUGUGAGAAGGCAUAAUAAAAAAAAAAAAAAAAAAAAGGUUAAGGGGAAUGCAUGUAAAUAAAGCAAUCCUGAAAAGAUAAUGCAUCCAAUGUUCCCUUACAUAAUUGACUGCAAAGCAUUGUCGUUACUUCAACUAGUAGACAGUGGUUGGUGGUGGUGGAGAUUUGUAGUAAUAUGGAUCUGGGGGUGAUUUAGAGGGUGGUGGAGGAGACUUGUAGACAUAGGGAGGAGGAGGGGAUGGUGAUGGGGGUGGUGGAGACUUGUACACAUAAGGCUGAGGUGGCGAUGGUGAUGGUGGUGGAGGGGACUUGUAAAUGUAAGGAGGUGGUGGAGAUGGUGAAGGGGGAGGUGGAGACUUGUAGAUAUAAGGAGGCGGUGGUGAUGGCGAUGGAGGUGGAGGAGAUUUAUAAACAUAAGGAGGUGGUGGUGAAGGUGAUGGUGGUGGGGGAGACUUGUAGACAUAGGGAGGGGGUGGUGAUGGAGAUGGUGGUGGUGGAGACUUAUAGACAUAUGGAGGUGGUGGAGAUGGCGACGGUGGGGGUGGAGACUUGUAUACAUAUGGACUAGGUGAUGAUGGUGAGGGUGGUGGCGGGGACUUGUAAAUGUAAGGAGGUGGUGACUUGUAGACAUACGGAGGUGGAGGCGUUGGUGAUGGAGGAGGAGGAGACUUAUAGACAUAUGGAGGUGGUGGUGAAGGUGAUGGUGGUGGGGGAGACUUGUAGACAUAAGGAGGAGGUGGUGAAGGAGAUGGUGGUGGUGGAGACUUAUAAACAUAUGGAGGUGGAGGAGAUGGCGAUGGUGGAGGUGGAGAUUUGUAUACAUAUGGGGGUGGUGGAGAUGGUGAUGGUGGAGGUGGAGACUUGUAUACAUAUGGAGGAGGUGGCGAUGGCGAUGGUGGUGGUGGAGACUUAUAUACAUAAGGAGGUGGUGGAGAAGGUGAAGGUGGUGGGGGAGAUUUAUACACAUAAGGAGGAGGAGGAGAUGGAGAUGGUGGGGGAGGAGACUUGUAGACAUAAGGAGGUGGUGGUGAUGGUGAAGGUGGAGGAGGAGAUUUGUAUACAUAUGGAGGAGGUGGUGAUGGUGAUGGUGGUGGAGGUGAUUUGUAGAUGUAAGGAGGUGGCGGUGAUGGCGAUGGUGGUGGUGGUGACUUAUAGACAUAAGGAGGGGGUGGUGAUGGUGAAGGUGGGGUGGAGACUUGUAGACAUAUGGAGGAGGUGGUGAAGGCGAUGGGGGAGGUGGUGACUUGUACACGUAAGGAGGUGGUGGUGAUGGUGAUGGCGGUGGAGGAGAUUUGUAGACAUAUGGAGGUGGGGGUGACGGUGAAGGUGGUGGUGGUGACUUAUAGAUGUAAGGAGGAGGUGGAGAUGGCGAAGGUGGCGGUGGCGACUUGUAGAUAUAUGGAGGUGGCAGUGAUGGUGAUGGUGGGGGAGGUGACUUAUAGACAUAAGGAGGUGGCGGAGAUGGUGAAGGUGGUGGUGGAGACUUGUACGCAUAAGGAGGUGGCGGCGAUGGAGAAGGGGGAGGUGGAGAGUUGUAGACAUAUGGAGGUGGUGGAGAGUUGUAGACAUAAGGAGGAGGUGGUGACGGCGAUGGUGGUGGUGGUGAGGUGUAUAGGUAAGGUGGGGGUGGAGAAUAAUAAUAAUAAUAUGGCUCCGGCUUUUUAGCCACUACAUUUGUUGCCAGGAAGCAUACAAUGGCCGCAAAGGCUAGCUGAGGCCAAAAAUGCCUCUCCAUUUUGGGCACCAUGAAGGUGGCGCCACCAAUUUUACCACCACUUUCUUUGCUUCAAAGAGGUAGCACUGAUCUUCUCUCUCUUUCUUUAGUUUGUUUUUCUUGAGUGCUUUAGUGCUCUCUAUGAGUCCCUUUUAUAGUGCUAGCCCCCCAACCUCUGCUUUCCCGAGGGAAAUAUACUAUCAUUUAUCCAACCUGGCCAAACCGUGUUUUCUUCCAUUUUAUUUACAGACCCUAUUACAGUAAUUUGAUAGUUUCAUAUGUGUUUUAUUUUAUUUUUAAUAAUGCAUUGCUAUUGGAGUUUUUUAUUUGGUGUGAACUGGAUUUGUACAUGGUCGUUGAAGAUGAAAUGAUAAUUGGAAGAAGUCAAUCCCUACUCUGUCCCCAUUGCAUUGGGCAUUAAUUGGGUCACAUUCACAUGUUGAAGGGCUAUUUUCAUUAAGUGGCGGCCUUGGAAUUGGUCACAAUCGAUAUCAAAUGAAAAGCAAGGGGAAGGGGUGCUAUAUUACCCUCUCUAUACAAAUGCCUAUUUCAAACUUUUUCCCCAAAAAAAAAAAAAUUCAAUUAAAGAUUGCCGAUCUGAUUCAAAAACACCGACAUUUGGUCAGGAUCGGGAGCUGGGUUCUAGUUCGAGAUGGUUCUGCCAUGUUCAUAUAUUUUUAAUUUCUAUGUAUAAAUAAAUUCGAUCCGACCCGACCCGAGACUUACAUUGCCAAAUUAGGAUUGAGCGCAGUUGAUUUAAGGCUCAAUUCCUAUUUUUCAGUCUAUCGAGCCGGAAUUGAGCCGGCAUGGGCAAUUGAGUCUGAAAUUAGUAGAUUCGAUUUUUAUCUCCCUUGCUCGCUAUUUAGAUACUAAAUAUACAAGGAGGAGACCUUGUCACAGUUGAUACUAAAUAAAAGCCAUGUGGUGCUUCGUUACCCUCUCUUUGGAAGGAAAGUAUGUAAGGUUAUUUUUAACUUUCUUAAAUUAAGAAAAAGGAACUCGAUUGAAGAUUGCCGAUCUGAUUCGAAAAUGCCCAAGUUGGGUCAGGAUCGGGUUUGAGAAACCCCAAAAUCGCUCCGAUUCUCUCUUUUUUUGUAGCUUUUUAAUUUCUUUGCCGAUGCUAGCCCUAUCUGAUUGGGGAGUUGGAUAAGGCACAUCAGAAUCGAUCCCUAGUGAUCAAGGCCCGAUUCCUACUUUUUAGUCACUGUUUGACCGAGCCAGCUUGGGCAAUUAAAUCUACAAUUAGUAGAUAUGACUUUUGUGUCCCUUGCUCUCUAUUAGUGCUUUCUGGAUCGGACUGCCAUUGAACGGGUAAUGUAGUUUGGUCUUAGAAAAACAAUUUGUUCAUUUUGUUUAGCUGGUCAAACUAGUCGAAACUGGUCCAAGAGCGGCUAAAACUUGUUAAAUAUUAGUUUUGAUUUUUUUUUUUUAAAAAAAAUCUCAUUUUUAUUAGACUAGACUGAUCAAGUCACUUAUCAACAAUUCAACCAAUGAAAUUGCCAAUCCAAUCCACUCCUAAUAACUAUGGAUGGAUUGGAUUUCUUUUCCACGUUUACAUUAGAUCAAAAUGAACCGUCCAUCCAGUCACCACCCCAUUUCUAUGAAUCAAAAUGCCCCUGGUGUGAACGAAAACUACAAAAAUGUUCUUGACUCUAAAAUGCUUUUCUUAAAUACCUAAAAUGCCCCAUGCAGGCCGAUGUCAAGUGCUUGGCACUGAGCCUCCUUUGUCAAAGACGCGUUCCUGCCAAUCAUUCAGCUUGACGCUAAUAAAAUACUAAAUAAAAUAAAAAUAAUAACGAAUAAAAUAAAAUAAUAGUCACAAUAAAUAAGUAAAAACAUGUGCUUGGACCUAUGUCAAGGACCAUGCAUGUUGAUCAAUGCCCAAACAAAGAUUAGCGGAAUUAACUUCCAUUUUUCACAUAUGGGGGAGAUCCCAUUUUCGAUUUUAUAUUUUAUUUUGUUGUUUCCAUAUGUAUUCUACUAAAAAAGAAAAGAAAAAUCAAAUAAAUGAGUAAAGAAAUUGAUACUUUUUUUAAAGUAAAUUUUCUAAAAGGUGGAUUGCCAAAAAGAUAAUAAGGUUCCACUCUGGAGCCCUAGAUUUCAAAUUAUAGUUUUGCAAAACAUUUUAUCUGUAAGUACGGUUUUCAUCCAAGAGGAUUUCAAAUUAUAGUUUUGCAAAACAUUUUAUCUGUAAGUACGGUUUUCAUCCAAGAGGAUUAAGUGUAUAAUGUUAUCCCGAGGGAGCAUGCUCUACAUUCCCUCUUUCAAAUAUUUUCUUAUGGGUGGAGGGCAGGGUCCACAUAAUCCUUUUUUUUUUUUUUCAAUGGAUCGGCUGGCAAGGAGCAUUGUCAUGAGUCAUGAAUAUUGAGUAAGAACGUGAAGUUAAAAUUAAAAUGAUAUUGACUAAGAAUUAUUCAUUAGAUAUUGAUUAAUAAUACAGGAUUUGUCCCUAAAGUCGCAUGGCAAGCGGAUUUCAUGUUGGAUGUAUUAGGUGUACCUUGUACGGAUUUGAUCUUCGUUAAAUAUUAAACCUUUGUUUGUAAAAUAAGUUUUUCUUGUCUUGGGCAAAUGAUACUUUCGGCUCAAAUAAUUAUUGUCAAAGGAGUUCAUGCUCUUUCAGGAGCGUAUUGUCUAUUAACUCCCUUAGAUAGGUAGUGUAUGUGUAUUUUAGGGAUUCCAAAUUUUGGGGAUUUAACCUCUUCAAUCCACAUGCUGUCAUCAUCAUCGUCAUAAUCUUUUUUCAAUUAAUUGGAGUCGGCUAUAUGAAUCCCGGUCUGUCAUUCAGCUCUAUUAAAGGUCAUACCCUUAGUGAGGCUAUAAGUCCAUCUAUUUUUACAAACUACUUCCAACCACGUCUUUUUGGACCUAUUCCUUGCUCUUUUAAGUCCUACCACUUGAACUAACUUGCACUUCCUAACAAGUGUUGUACUUGGUCGGCGGAAUACAUGGCCAGCCCAUCUAAGUCUAAUCUCUCUCGUCUUAUCACAUAUUGGUACCGCACCUAAAUUCUCCUAAAUGGGUUCAUUUUAAAUUCUAUCACUUCUUGUCUUACCACUCCUCCAUCUCAACAUUCUCAUUUCCGCUAAACUCCUUUUAUGGGCAUAUUGUUUUUUGUGUACCAAAUAUUUAGCCCCAUAGAUCAAAGUUGGUCUCACAAUUGUCUUAUAGAACUAGCCCUUCAACUUCAUUAGUACAAUGUUAUAACAUAAAAUUUCAGUUUCACAUCUCUACUUUGCCCACCUAGCCCUAAUUCUGUGUACGACAUCUUCCUCAAUCUUUCCAUUUUCCUGGAUUAUCGACCUCAGAUAUCGAAAGUGUGAUUUUUUUCAUCCUUCCUAGUCAUCAAUCUUAACUACUUCUUCGUCUCUACUCCUAUUAUUACUAAACUUCUAUUACAUAUAAUAUGUCUUAGUCCUGUUAAUUUUAAAACCUUUGGAUUCUAGAGCAUUCCUCUAAAGUUCUAACUUUAUAUUGAUCCCGUUUGGGGUCUCAUUGAUAAAAAAUGUGUCAUCUGCAAACAACAUGCACUAUGGUACCUCAUCUUGGUGCCUAAUUAAGUCGUCCGUAACUAAGAUAAAGAGGUACGGGCUCAAUGCUGACCUUUGAUGUAGACCUAUUGUUAUUGAAAACUCACUCAUCACUCCACUAAUUGUUUGUACACUAGUUAGUGAUCCAUCGUAUAUAUCUAUCACCAAGUUGAUGUAGUGUUUGAAAACUCAUUUCUUUUCCAACACCCACCAAAUCAAAUAUCGACGUACUCUAUCAUAAGUUUUAUCUAGAUCAAUAAAGACCAUGUGGAGGUCUUUUUUUUUCACCCUAAACUUCUCAAUCAGUUGCCUAAGUAAAAAAAUAGCCAUAGUUGUUGGCCUUCCUAGCAUAAAACUAAAUUGAUUUUUAAAUAAACUCGUUUCAUAUCUUAGUCGUUGCUUAAUCACUCUCUCUCAGAACUUCAUAGUAUGAUGCAUAAGCUUGAUCCAUCGAUAGUUCGUAAAAUUUUGUAUGUCUCAUUUGUUACUGAAAAUAGGUACCACAAUAUUUUUUCAUCGAUUCGUCUGGUAUUUUCUUUUCUCAAUACCUAAUUGAAUAAUUUCAUUAGUCACUCAAUGCCAAUCUCCCUCCAUGCACUUCCAAACAUCUAUUGGGAUACCAUAUGAUCCUAAAGCCUUUCUAUCUUUAUCAUUUUUAAAGCUUUUUCACUUUCGACAUCCUGAUCCCACAAAUGUAUUUAUGACCUACGCCCUCAUUUGUAUUACUAGUUCCUUUUACCGCUAUGUUCUCAUUGUAUUCGUCAUUUUAAAUUUUUUUGAAAAUAAACUCUCCACCGUUUGUUGACCUCGUAAUAUUUCACCAAGACAUUUUGAUCCUCACUCUUAAUGCAUUUUAUAUGGUUUAGAUCCUAUAUCUUUUCUCUCUAAUUUUUGCUAAAUUUGAAGACAUUUUUUCACCUUCUCUUGUUCCUAGUUUAUUGUAUAGAUUAUCAUAUGUCUUAAGUUUAGCUUUACUUACUAUUUAUUUAAUGUUUUUCUUAGCUUUUUAAUAUUGUUCUAAGUUUUGAUCGUUUCUAUUACACUUUCAAGUUUUAUAACAUGAUUAUUUUGCUAAUAGCCUUUUGAACCUCAUUAUGCAACCACCAAGUUUCUUCAUCGAAGUUUUUUUUCCCCUCUAAAGUCUCCUAAACCUUCUUUUGCCACUUUCUUGAUAUAGUCAGCUAUCUCAUUCAAUAUUAUAUUGACAUCACGUUCAGAGGUUCAUUUUCAUUCUUCAACUAAUUUAUCUUUAAAUAAGUUUAUUUUCUCAGUUUUUAAUUUCUGCCACCUAGUUCUUAGACCCCCAUUACUUUCACCCAUUAUCUUCCAUGUCUUUAUGCAAACGUCCAUAACCACGAGCUUACGUUGAGUAGUCAAACUCGCUUCUAGGAUAACCUUGCAAUUUUUACAUGAUGGUCGAUUUACCUUCUUAAUUAGGAAGAAGUCACUCUGCCUUUUAUGUGAUCUAUUUAUAGUUUAUUGGAUGUUCAUCUUACUUUUUAAAGUAAGUAUUUGUUAUUAUUAGGUCGUAGGCCAUAACAAAAAUCUAGGAUAGUCUCACCCAUCUCAUUUCUUUCCCUAAACCCAUAUCCCCCAUGUACCCCUUUAUAUCUUCUAAUAUCCUUCCCUACAUAACCCCUUCAUAUCUACUAGCAUUCCUCUUCUUUUUCUUUUUUUUUGGUUAAAUAAAGCGAAGGAUUGAAAUUCUGUGAACCCCAACCACACAAUUUCCCUUUAUAAAGUAGAAUAAUCGAUUUUAUAUGAUUUUUAUCUUGAUAAAUCUCAAAAUAUAGAAACAUAUCCAUUCACACAAAUUAGAGCACCAAAUGGAUUAAUGAAAAAUUAAUACAACCAGAUUUAUUGAGAAUGAAAUAGGAAGAGUGUGGCAAAUAAGAGCCAUCAAAAUAAAAACAAUUGUGUGGCCUCAUGGACCAAAUCUUUUAAUAAAUUCCAGUAGUAUGUAUAUUUCUUUAGAUCUCAAGAAAAUCCUUCUUCAAUCCUCAUUGUUGCAGAAUCCAAAUGACCAACUCGAACUUCAAUUGGUGUCCGUUAUUUCACUAAUAUAGAAGAAACCUGCAAGUGAGAAACUUGUAAGAAUGCAUACAAAAAAGAAAAAAAAAAGUUAAGGGAAUUCAUGUAAAUAUAAUAACCCUGGAAAGACAAUGCAUCUGAUGUUCUCUUACAUAAUAGAUAACAAAGCAGUGUCGUUACUCCAACUAGUAGACAAUGGUUGGUGAUGAUGGAGAUUUGUAGUAGUAAGGUUCUGGAGGUGAUUUAGAGGGUGGUGGAGGAGACUUGUAGACAUAAGGAGGUGGUGGAGAUGGUGAUGGUGGUGGAGGGGACUUGUAAAUGUAAGGAGGUGGUGGAGAUGGUGAAGGUGGAGGUGGAGACUUGUAGAUGUAAGGAGGUGGUGGUGAUGGGGAUGGAGGUGGAGGAGAAUUGUAUACAUAAGGAGGAGGUGGUGAAGGUGAUGGUGGUGGGGGAGACUUGUAGAUAUAAGGAGGGGGUGGUGAUGGAGAUGGUGGUGGUGGAGACUUAUAAAUAUAUGGAGGUGGUGGAGAAGGCGACGGUGGGGGUGGAGACUUGUAUACAUAUGGAGGAGGUGGUGAUGGUGAGGGUGGUGGCGGGGACUUGUAAAUGUAAGGAGGUGGUGNNNNNNNNNNNNNNNNNNNNNNNNNNNNNNNNNNNNNNNNNNNNNNNNNNNNNNNNNNNNNNNNNNNNNNNNNNNNNNNNNNNNNNNNNNNNNNNNNNNNNNNNNNNNNNNNNNNNNNNNNNNNNNNNNNNNNNNNNNNNNNNNNNNNNNNNNNNNNNNNNNNNNNNNNNNNNNNNNNNNNNNNNNNNNNNNNNNNNNNNNNNNNNNNNNNNNNNNNNNNNNNNNNNNNNNNNNNNNNNNNNNNNNNNNNNNNNNNNNNNNNNNNNNNNNNNNNNNNNNNNNNNNNNNNNNNNNNNNNNNNNNNNNNNNNNNNNNNNNNNNNNNNNNNNNNNNNNNNNNNNNNNNNNNNNNNNNNNNNNNNNNNNNNNNNNNNNNNNNNNNNNNNNNNNNNNNNNNNNNNNNNNNNNNNNNNNNNNNNNNNNNNNNNNNNNNNNNNNNNNNNNNNNNNNNNNNNNNNNNNNNNNNNNNNNNNNNNNNNNNNNNNNNNNNNNNNNNNNNNNNNNNNNNNNNNNNNNNNNNNNNNNNNNNNNNNNNNNNNNNNNNNNNNNNNNNNNNNNNNNNNNNNNNNNNNNNNNNNNNNNNNNNNNNNNNNNNNNNNNNNNNNNNNNNNNNNNNNNNNNNNNNNNNNNNNNNNNNNNNNNUGAUGGUGAAGGUGGUGGAGGAGACGUUAGUAGAUGUAAGGAGGAGGUGGAGAUGGCGAAGGUGGUGGCGGAGACUUGUAGAUGUAUGGAGGUGGUGGUGAUGGUGAUGGUGGUGGAGGAGACUUAUAGACAUAAGGAGGUGGUGGCGAUGGUGAAGGUGGUGGAGGAGACAUGUACACAUAAGGAGGGGGCGGCGAUGGAGAAGGGGAGGUGGGGACUUGUAGACAUAUGGAGGCGGUGGAGAGGGUGAAGGUGGUGGUGGAGACUUGUAGACAUAAGGGGGAGGUGGUGACGGCGAUGGUGGUGGUGGUGAUUUGUAGAGAUAAGGUGGGGGUGGAGAAGAAUAGUAAUAUGGCUCCGGUUUAUCAGCCACUACAUUUGUAGCCACGAAGCAUACAAUGGCAGCAAAAGCAAGCUGAGGCCAAACAUGCCUCUCCAUUUUGGGCACCAUGAAGGUGGCGCCACCAAUUUUACCACCACUCUCUUUGCUUCAAAGAGGGUACCACUAAUCUUCUCUCUCUUUCUUCGGUUUGUGUUUCUUGAGUGAUUUAGUGCUCUCUCUAUACCUUUUAUAGUGUUAUGCCCCCACCUACUGUUUCUCAAGGCAACUAUACUAUCAUUUAU
rnacentral:lncRNA from 1 species